UUUUUUUUCUUUUUUUUUUUUUUUUGAGACUGCCUCUUGCUCUAUUGCCCAGGCUGGAGUACAGUGGCACGAUCUUGGCUCACUGCAACCUCCAACUCUUGGGUUCAAGUGAUUCUCCUGCCUCAGCCUCUGGAGUAGCUGGGAUUACAGGCACCUGCCACCAUGCCUGGCUAAUUUUUGUAUUUUUAGUAGAGAUGGGGUUUCACUAUGUUGGCCAGGCUGGUCUUGAACUCCUGACCUCAAGUGAUCUGCCCGCCUUGGCCUCCCAAAAUGCUGGGUUUACAGCCACCAUGACUGGCUCUCACCUGCUUUUCCUAUUUAAUAUGGAAUGUCCCCCCGGGGCAGUCAACCUGGUCAACCCUGGAAAGUUAUCAAUUAUGAUAGAGACACUGACAUUUCUUAUCCAUACAAAAUGUACCUAAAGAUCAGCCUGUGUCUGAAUGAGCAGAGAGAGGCCUGUCCUUCUUGAAUCUGUGGGCAGUUCUGCCUUUUUGUCAUUCUGACAUCUGUGCGUGAAAGAGUUGGAGUCCUAUGGGACUUCCAAAUGAAGGCUGGGAAUAACUUCUUUCUAAAUGCAGGCCUGGGUCCCUUCAAAGACUCAUCUUCAGACUCCAUUUAAGCUUUAGAAAGCCCAGUGAGGUAGGUCAUGUGUUACCCCCUGUGUGGAUGAGAAACCUGAGGCCCUGAGAGGUCACAUGGUGGCUGGGAUGGCAGAGUAGUAAUGAGAAUGAGCUGCCUGAGUUCACCUCUUUUGCCUCUGCCCCUUGGGGGCUGUUUGCAGUAGGUUUGGGUAUCAUUCCUGGGGCUGUACUCCGUCCUGGAAUAUAGUGAUACAUCUGUACCCUUGGCAUAGGCAGAGCACCUGCCCCAUCAGGCACACUCACCUUGCCUGUUGGAAGAUGAGCAGACCUGUCAUGAGCAGAAGCUUUUGGUGUGGUGUCUUGGUGUGGUGGUUUGGUGUGAUGGUUUGGCAUGGUGUUUGGUGUGAAGGUUUGGUGUGGUGGUUUGGUGUGGUGUUUUGGUGUGGUGGUUUGGUGUGGUGUUUGGUGUGAUGGUUUGGUGUGGUGAUUUGGCAUGGUGUUUGGUGUGAAGGUUUGGUGUGGUGGUUUGGUGUGAUGGUUUGGUGUGGUGGUUUGGUGUGGCUUGCUUACUCGAAGUGUGGUUAAGGAAGCUCACCCCAUGUGGCUGUUGAUCCUGCAGCAGGGGCCUGAAUGAAGACCAUGGGCAGAUGUGAAUCCAACAAGAAGUCUGGAGUUCAGUCUGGUACAACCGAGCCCAGGCUAGAUUACCUAAAUUGUAGCCAACCUGCAGACCUGGAAGAAUGAAUGUUGUGUAAGGCACUGGGGUUUUUGAAGCUGUUGGUUAUACAGCGAAAGCAGACUAGCACUACUCCUUGGGGAAGUACCUAACUCUUCUGAGCCUCCAUUUCUUUAUGAAUAAAAUCAAAACACUAAUACCAACCUCGUAGAGCAGUUGCGAGGGUUAGCUGAGGUAAGCACAGUUCUCGGUGUGUAGUAAGUACUCAUUUCUGAGCAGGCGGAGUUUCCUUGGGGUGGUUUUUGAUGCAAAUGGUCCUUAUAGCAGAGGGGAAGUGUCUAGCUUUUAGGCAGAGGCUGAUUCUGGCAAGUUUUGUUUCCUCCUGGCUUCCCAGCUCCAAAUGGCCUGGCUGGCUGAAGCAAGUGGAAUCUGGUACGGAUUCCUCAGGCCCUGCGUGGACACUGGUGAGCCUAAGUGACAUCAUGCCAACUCUCAUGUUGAGGGCACCUUCC
ensembl:lncRNA